rnacentral:rRNA from 1 species
GACGAACGCUGGCGGCGUGCCUAAUACAUGCAAGUCGAACGAGAGCGACCGGUGCUUGCACUGGUCAAUCUAGUGGCGAACGGGUGAGUAACACGUGGGUAACCUGCCCAUCAGAGGGGGAUAACAUCCGGAAACGGAUGCUAAAACCGCAUAGGUCUUCGAACCGCAUGGUUUGAAGAGGAAAAGAGGCGCAAGCUUCUGCUGAUGGAUGGACCCGCGGUGCAUUAGCUAGUUGGUGAGGUAACGGCUCACCAAGGCCGUGAUGCAUAGCCGACCUGAGAGGGUGAUCGGCCACAUUGGGACUGAGACACGGCCCAAACUCCUACGGGAGGCAGCAGUAGGGAAUCUUCCGCAAUGGACGCAAGUCUGACGGAGCAACGCCGCGUGAGUGAAGAAGGUUUUCGGAUCGUAAAACUCUGUUGUUAGAGAAGAACAAGUGCUAGAGUAACUGUUAGC